GUGGGUGGAGCAGCAGGCCGGUGUUGUCGGGUGGAGCACCGGGCUGGGGGGCCUUGAGGGAUCAGGGCGUAGCACACUUCAGGUUUUCCAUAGGCUGAGAAAAUGAAUUUGGACGAAGCUUCAGUCUAUGUUUUCUCCACCAUGGCCUCAGUCUGCUGUUAGAACCUCACCAAACCUUUCUCCCACAGGACGUGUGGCGCCUGCCCUCCACUUGUUCACCCCAGAUCAGCGAACAGAACAGAAAGGUAAAGCGGUCAACAUGGCUGUACUCGGCUACGGCAAUCCAGGGGGAUUUGAUGUCCUGUUAUCGAGCCGCAGCUGACUCGAUGUGUCUGGGGACCUCGCAUUCCCCCGUAGGGUCCCUAGGAACACGGACAAGCUGACCGUAGCGGAAGUCUUGAAUUUGGGUCCCAGGCAGAGGGUGGGCGUGAUCGAGGUCAGGGUGGUGCAGGUCCUGGAGAACAGGGUGGUGCAGCUCCAAGGAGCGCCAGUGGAGCUCAAAUGCUUUGAGGUGUGCGGUGGGACGGGAUUGACUGUGUGGGACCGGCUGAUCCUAUCGGUGCAGGUGGGGAGGUGCUACUCCUUUCAGGCUUUGAGCACCAGGAUGGAUGCUAACCGGACAGUGUUGACCCCCACACCCUCCUCAGUCGUCACCGUCAUUGCGGGUAUUGGGCAGCCAUCUUCCCUUCUAUUGAUGACCGUGAAGGCUAAGGAGACUCUGCGCGGGCUGGUGUCUGCGGUCAACAUCAUUGCGAAGCCCAGGUGCCCGAGAUGCCACACCUGCCAGGACAACCUGGGUGUGAAGCUGUCCACUCACUGCUGCGAGCGCUGAUCCAGCGCACAGCCUCGUAUUUGGCGACGUACUCGGGCAAGCUUGUUGUGGUAGCCAGAGACGGGGAGGAGUGAUCCAUGGUCCUGACAAACUCAGCGGUUUCUGCGUUUGUCAGGGAUCAACCACUAUUAACUUCUGCCCAUGACGCUCAAGCCCUGGAGGAGAUACUAAUUGUAAUGCCUGAGCUGGAGGUGACAUUCAAUUCUGAAGGGCUGGUUGAGCGCUUGGCUACUCCUGCUGUUGCUGAGGGGGAGGCCCCAGUUCACAGCGGCCAGGGCAAUGUCCCGGAUGCGGAGGAGGCGUCGACCUCCUACGUAAGGGACUCUGAGGCUGUGCUACAUGUGGAUGAUGAGGGCCUGGCAGAAUUGUUUGACGAGCAUUGACGUUUACCUUUGUUGUGUGGUUGUGUUGUUUUUCAAUUUUGGCACUUAUACUAACUAAUAAAGUUUGUUUUGUUUUAAGCAAUUGUUUAGUCUUAAAAAGGGAAUUGGUCAGUUAGACUAAGCUGUGCAGGUAAUGGUAAAGUCUUUAUGGUCUAAAUAUUGAAUUUAAAGGAAGCCUUUCUUUCUCAUGGCGGUUAAGAAUCUUGUUGGUGAACGAACACACACACAAACAAGUAAAUGGUAGGGAUGGGCGUGAGGAAUCGAUUACUAGAGUACUCCUCGUUACAAAUGAACUCGGUUGGUGGACAGGCAAACUCGAGUUUGCAUCUACACAAAUAAACAAAGUUUUCUGAAGCAAAUGUCAAUUGUCUGUGCGGUGCCACUAACGCAUGCCGUGGGCACAAAGCAAAUGAAAUGUAUCAAUUUUAUGUGUGGCGCGUGCCGUGCCGUGUGCAGGCACGCCAGAAUUCAAAAAGUUAGAGAUGGUGGUUAAAGCAAAGCGCAGCGAAGAAUUGAAAUACUUUAAAGAAAUAGGAGAUCAUAAGUUGAAAUGUAAAAUAUGCCAAGCGAAAUCGAGCUACCAGAGUACUACAAGUACUAUGCGGCAACAUAUGCUCCUGAAACACAGCGGUGAGUUCGGGAAAGCAGACCCGCAGCAACCAAGUGUGUCGGCUAUUUUCACCGCCGCAAGACGCAGCCGUAAUCCCGGCCGUGUAGAGAAGAUCACAACGCUGAGUAUUUCCAUAGUCCAUUUGCUGCCGUUUUAUUUGCAGCUUUAAAUUAUUUGCAAUGGUUAGGCUACUUGUUUUUGUUUAUUUUAAACCGUUACAGGCCUUGGUUCGACGUGAUUUAAAUUGUG
ensembl:lncRNA